rnacentral:lncRNA from 1 species
CACCCCUCUAAUCCACCAGCAGAGGACCCCGGCUCCUAGGACAGACUGCAGCCCACCCUCCUCCACCCCCCGCGCAACUUCAAGGACAAAGGCCAGAGAGGGAUCAUGGGGCGUUCCAGCUUCCACGCACCGCAAGCCUAGGGGACAAAGGCGGCCGGAGGACCCAGAGAGUCUGAAACCUGAAAAGGGAUCCCCCUGUCCCCAGCCCGCCCUCCUCCCCCAGCAGAGCCUGAGGGGGGCGCUGGCAGCAGGAAGCCGGGAAGGGCCCCGGAGGCGCACAGGCCCCACAGUGGAGCGCCUUGCGACCUUGGGUGACUGACAAGCAGGAUGCCUGGGUUCCGAUCCCCACCCCAGUCUGGCCGCCUCUCCCUGACCCUUAGCCCUACCGCUGCCUGCUGAUGUGUCCACCACCCUCAUUCUCGGUUAGUGCUCUCCCUCCCUCCCGUCGGGGCCAUCCAGGCUCUAUGAGACCAUACUAUUUUUUCCUUCUGCA